AGUGAACGCUGGCGGUAGGCCUAACACAUGCAAGUCGAACGGCAGCACAGUAAGAUCUUGCUCUUACGGGUGGCGAGUGGCGGACGGGUGAGGAAUACAUCGGAAUCUACUUUUUCGGGGGGGAUAACGUAGGGAAACUUACGCUAAUACCGCAUACGACCUACGGGUGAAAGCAGGGGAUCUUCGGACCUUUCGCGAUUGAAUGAGCCGAUGUCGGAUUAGCUAGUUGGCGGGGUAAAGGCCCACCAAGGCGACGAUCCGUAGCUGGUCUGAGAGGAUGAUCAGCCACACUGGAACUGAGACACGGUCCAGACUCCUACGGGAGGCAGCAGUGGGGAAUAUUGGACAAUGGGCGCAAGCCUGAUCCAGCCAUACCGCGUGGGUGAAGAAGGCCUUCGGGUCGUAAAGCCCUUUUGUUGGGAAAGAACAGCAGCAGGUUAAUACCCCGCUGUUCUGACGGUACCCAAAGAAUAAGCACCGGCUAACUUCGUG
rnacentral:rRNA from 1 species